CUGCAGCCAGUUAAGUUGAUUGAGCUCUUUUCCUCAUGGAGGCUUGGUGUGCAAUGACUGCAAACAGCAGGUUCCUUGGUAGUGUACGCAGCCUGUUUCUUGUAUGGGUUGCCUCUAAGGGUCCUUGGAGAUAGCC
ensembl:snoRNA SNORA70 Small nucleolar RNA SNORA70